UCCCUCCGCCGCCACUCUCUUCUUCCUCCUUUACUCUUCCUCUCGGUCUCCACACGAUGGCCUCCGUCACCCCGCGUGAGCUUCGCCUCCCUGCAGCGCGUCCGCGCAUCUCCAAGCUCUACGACCGCCGGCGUCCGCUCGACCAAGAUCUUCCCGAUGUCCUCAACCACGCGCACGCAUCCUGCACGUCGUCCCAGUCCUAUCGCCUCGACGAGCUCUCCAUCGAGCGCCCCUGCACGUCCGUCUCCUGCAUCUCACCUCUCCAAGCCUUGGCGAAGCGCACGCGCGCGUUCUGCAUCAUCACCUCCAUGCAGUAGCGCAGCUCGCCGUGUCCCCGCCUAACUCGAGCGCGUCUUCGUCGCCGUCGCGCACCGGCCGCUCCAAGCUGCAAGUUCAUCGCUUUCUCCACGUCAUCAUCCUGCGCGCGCACUGCCAGCGCCGUCCCCUUCCGCAUGCGCGCUCCCGCCGUCCCUGUACGUCGCCAAGGUCGCGGCGUGCAACUCCGACAACCGCGCAUGCUCGCCGACGUACCCAAGCAUCUCCGGCUGCAGCAGCUCGUCGACGAGGCCCCAGGCCCCAGCAUCUUCACCUUCAUCCCCGUGCUCGAUCGGUGCUCCGCCCCCAUGCCCAGCAAGCCCGUCGGUCGGCCGUCAUGUUCUUCUCCGUGGGCUGCUGGUCUUCCUUCUCUAUCCGUCCUCCGUCGCGAACACCCGUAACGUGACCUUGCAGAUCGAUCCCGGGCGGACGCAACUUGUCCAGCUGAAACCGGCUUCGUCAAAUCGUCUCCGUCCUCGUCGUUCAAAACCAUGCGCGCCAAACUCGCCUCGGCAUCGUCUUAUGCGCGCCCAAACUGACUCCAGCCUGCCGGCCCCGGAUGAUCUCGGCGCUCCUUCCAUCGUCAGCUACCGCGUGUACCGGCAGUGAAGUCGCUGCCUUGGUUCAUUUGGUUCUAUACUCCCAGGACAACGUCAACUGAAGGCAAGCUAGCUGGCUCGUUCCAUGUAUUCUAUCGAUCAGAUCUUGUGCUCAAAUCCUUUGGCAGCCCAAUAUAAUAAUCAACCUUCUUGGUCGUUUGCCAUGUGUA